AUUGAACGCUGGCGGCAGGCCUAACACAUGCAAGUCGAACGAGUGGCGGACGGGUGAGUAAUGUCUGGGAAACUGCCUGAUGGAGGGGGAUAACUACUGGAAACGGUAGCUAAUACCGCAUACCAUCGGAUGUGCCCAGAUGGGCUUAGCUAGUAGGUGGGGUAAAGGCGCACCUCGGCGAAGAUCCCUAGAUGGUCGGAGAGGAUGACCAGCCACACUGGAACUGAGACACGGGCCAGACUCCUACGGUAGGCAGCAGUGGGGAAUAUUGCACAAUGGGCGCAAGCCUUAUGCAGCCAGGCCGAGUGUAUGAAGAAGGCCUUCGGUUUGUAAAGUACUUUCAGCGGGGAGGCGUUACCCGCAGAAGAAGCACCGGCUAACUCCGUGCCAGCAGCCGCGGUAAUAC
rnacentral:rRNA from 1 species